rnacentral:rRNA from 1 species
AUGGAGUUGAGUUUGUCUCAUAUGCUUCAUAUUUUUAAUAUCUUUUGUGAGUAUGAUGGAAAGGAAAAUUGUGCUCAAGUGCUAGAAGAAGAAUGCAUUAAAAUGCUUGGUACUAAAUCUUUGUAUGAUGAGCAUGAUUGCGAUGUUGUUAGUAUGAAUUCUAUGAAUAUCCAUGAUGCUAAUGAUAUGCAAAGCCACAAGUUUGGGGAAGCUAUGUUUGAUGAAGAUGAUAUUUUUUGUUCCCCAAGUUUUGAUGAGAAUAUUUAUUAUGAUGAAAGCAUGCCUCCUAUUUAUGAUGAUUAUAUUGAUGAAAGUGGGUUUGGAAGAGUGUCAACUUUAGGAAGUAAUAAUACCACUAUUUUGGAGGAUGUUAAAUCUUAUUGUGAUGAAUAUGAAAGUGGAUUUGGAAGAGUGUCAACUUUAUUUAGUGAUGAGUCCACUAUUUCGGAAGAGGUUCCAAUUGAUUAUGAGAACAAAGUUGCUACUUAUGAUGAUUAUUGUGAUGAAACUUAUGCUAUAAAAAGUAGUGAUGAUUAUAUUUACAAAUCUUGUCAUGAUUAUGAUUACCCUUUUUCUGAACAUUACUCUUUUAAUGUGGAAACAAUUUUUAGUGUUCAAGUCUCUUAUGAUACUCUCACUAUUCCGAAUGAGAAGAAUUUUGCUUAUGUGGGGAGUAGUAAAUUUUCUAUGCUUGUAGAUCAUGAAAAUAAUGCUUUAGGUGCUGGUUAUAUUGUUGAAUUCAUUCAUGAUGCUACUGAAAAUUAUUAUGCGGGAGGAACAUAUGCUUGUAGGAAUUGCAAUAAUAUCAAGUUUCCUCCCUAUGUGUUGAAAAACUUGAACUUAUGCUUGUUGUACCUUCCUAUGCUAGUUGAUUAUUGUUCCUAUAAGUUUUUUGCUCACAAAAUCCCUAUGCAUAGGAAGUGGGUUAGACUUAAAUAUGCUAGUCAUAUUUUUCAUGAUGCUCUCUAUAUGUUUCAAUUCUUAUCUUUUAUGUGA